AUUGAACGCUGGCGGCAUGCCUUACACAUGCAAGUCGAACGGCAGCAUGAUCUAGCUUGCUAGAUUGAUGGCGAGUGGCGAACGGGUGAGUAAUACAUCGGAGCGUGCCCUGUAGUGGGGGAUAACUAGUCGAAAGAUUAGCUAAUACCGCAUACGACCUGAGGGUGAAAGUGGGGGACCGCAAGGCCUCAUGCUAUAGGAGCGGCCGAUGUCUGAUUAGCUAGUUGGUGAGGUAAAGGCUCACCAAGGCGACGAUCAGUAGCUGGUCUGAGAGGACGAUCAGCCACACUGGGACUGAGACACGGCCCAGACUCCUACGGGAGGCAGCAGUGGGGAAUUUUGGACAAUGGGCGAAAGCCUGAUCCAGCAAUGCCGCGUGUGUGAAGAAGGCCUUCGGGUUGUAAAGCACUUUUGUCCGGAAAGAAAUGGCUCUGGUUAAUACCUGGGGUCGAUGACGGUACCGGAAGAAUAAGGACCGGCUAACUACGUG
rnacentral:rRNA from 1 species